UGGGGAAUAUUGGACAAUGGGCGAAAGCCUGAUCCAGCCAUGCCGCGUGUGUGAAGAAGGUCUUCGGAUUGUAAAGCACUUUAAGUUGGGAGGAAGGGCAUUAACCUAAUACGUUAGUGUUUUGACGUUACCGACAGAAUAAGCACCGGCUAACUCUGUGCCAGCAGCCGCGGUAAUACAGAGGGUGCAAGCGUUAAUCGGAAUUACUGGGCGUAAAGCGCGCGUAGGUGGUUUGUUAAGUUGGAUGUGAAAGCCCCGGGCUCAACCUGGGAACUGCAUCCAAAACUGGCAAGCUAGAGUACGGUAGAGGGUGGUGGAAUUUCCUGUGUAGCGGUGAAAUGCGUAGAUAUAGGAAGGAACACCAGUGGCGAAGGCGACCACCUGGACUGAUACUGACACUGAGGUGCGAAAGCGUGGGGAGCAAACG
rnacentral:rRNA from 1 species